GAUGAACGCUGGCGGCGUGCCUAAUGCAUGCAAGUCGAGCGAAUGGAUUAAGAGCUUGCUCUUAUGAAGUUAGCGGCGGACGGGUGAGUAACACGUGGGUAACCUGCCCAUAAGACUGGGAUAACUCCGGGAAACCGGGGCUAAUACCGGAUAACAUUUUGAACCGCAUGGUUCGAAAUUGAAAGGCGGCUUCGGCUGUCACUUAUGGAUGGAACCGCGUCGCAUUAGCUAGUUGGUGAGGUAACGGCUCACCAAGGCAACGAUGCGUAGCCGACCUGAGAGGGUGAUCGGCCACACUGGGACUGAGACACGGCCCAGACUCCUACGGGAGGCAGCAGUAGGGAAUCUUCCGCAAUGGACGAAAGUCUGACGGAGCAACGCCGCGUGAGUGAUGAAGGCUUUCGGGUCGUAAAACUCUGUUGUUAGGGAAGAACAAGUGCUAGUUGAAUAAGCUGGCACCUUGACGGUACCUAACCAGAAAGCCACGGCUAACUACGUGCCAGCCGCCGCCGUAA
rnacentral:rRNA from 1 species